rnacentral:sRNA from 1 species
GGGAGUGGGGGGGUGUCCCCUUCCUCCCUCACUGCUCCAUGUUGUCCCUCCGGAAGCUGCACCCUUGGUGGAAGAAAAUGACCUUUCCCGAAUAGAGGAGGUCUUUGGUCUUUGGUCAAGGGUUUAUGAGUAGCUGUGCUCCCCUGCUAGAAUCUCCAAACAAGCUCUCAAGGGCCAUUUCUCAUACAUUUAAAUCUGAGAAGCUAUGCUAAAUGUAUAAUUACAUGUGUGGAAAAUUCAUAAAAGUAUCUCAC